ensembl:snoRNA SNORD15 Small nucleolar RNA SNORD15
CUUCAGUGAUGAUACGAUGACGAGACGGAGCAGGACUCGGUCUCGCUCUGCUGGUCGCUGGUUCAGAUCCACGUUCUGUGGUUCUGCUCCAGCACCUCAGAGCAGGAAGUCCUUUCCAUGUGAAGACACAGAGGCAUUUGUCUGAGAAGG